rnacentral:tRNA from 1 species
GGGCCUGUAGCUCAGCCGGAACGAGAGCAUCUGUCUUCUAAACAGAGGGGCGCAGGUUCGAGUCCUGCCAAGCCCG